rnacentral:tRNA from 1 species
GCCUUCGGGGUGUAGUGGUCAGCACGCUCGACGCGUAAUCGAGAGGUCCGUGGUUCGAUUCCCGGCGAAGGCG